rnacentral:rRNA from 1 species
UACGUAGGGUGCAAGCGUUAAUCGGAAUUACUGGGCGUAAAGCGUGCGCAGGCGGUUAUGUAAGACAGGUGUGAAAUCCCCGGGCUUAACCUGGGAACUGCAUUUGUGACUGCAUAGCUAGAGUACGGUAGAGGGGGAUGGAAUUCCGCGUGUAGCAGUGAAAUGCGUAGAGAUGUGGAGGAAUACCGAUGGCGAAGGCAGCCCCCUGGGAUAACACUGACGCUCAUGCACGAAAGCGUGGGGAGCAAACAGG